CCAGCUACUUGGGAGGCUGAGCCAGGAGAAUCGCUUGAGCCCGGGAGGUGGAGGUUGCAGUGAGCCAAGACUGCACCACUGCACUCCAGCCUGGAUGACACAGACUCUGUCGCAAAAAAAAAUAAAAAAUGGAUGGAAAGACUCUACUGGAUAGUUGGCCAAAAGUGGAGUCUAUUACUGAGAAACAAAAUCUUUCCCUGUGGAAUUGAACUGACAGCGUAUAUGUCUAUCAUUAUGGCAGAACGAACCCCAUGCUAUGGAAUGUUCUACAGCAGUAAACGAGGAAAUGAACCACAGUUACAUGGAAAAUGCUCCACACUUUAUUAUUAGUUUAAAAAAAUUGCAAACAAUGUAAUUGUGUAACAUUUUAUGGUUUUAAAAAAGAUAAAAGGCAAACAAGGUGUUGGUUGCAAAAAAUAAAAAAUGUAUAUUAUGAAAAGAUAAAAGCUACAUGUUUCUAGGAUAUCUAUAUGUGUAAAAGAGGGAAAGACCUGGAAACUUAUACACCACACUGACAAUAGCAGGUGCCUCCACAAGAGAGAGUGGGGGUUUGGGUUGGCAUCAAGGAAAUUUGCCUUUGUGUAGAAUGAAUUUUUUAAAGAUUACAUUUGUGUAUUAUUUGUGUAAUUAAAUUCUGUUAAAAUUUUAACUGAAUUUCUAUUUCUACCAAUUUGUCUACUGCCUGAAUACAUAACUACUCUUAAAAGGAAGAAUAGCUCUCCCUCCCCCUCCC
rnacentral:lncRNA from 10 species